AUGUCAUCGGCAAGUCCGACUUGCCGAAUCCAGGCAUCGAGCUUAUCGAUCUUGAGGGUUGCAGAGAUGGUCUCAACCAGCCACCCAAUCGAGGCCGCCAUCAGAUCCGGCAGAAGAUGUUCGCUGGAGAUGGUUUCUUGUCAGUGGAGAGUGUGGGGGGAGUCGAGGCUCGAGGGUGGGGAGCACGCGAGCAGAGCAGAAACAAUAUACUACAAAAUGAGCCGAACGCGGAAGGAAGGAGGGAAAGCAGAGCACACUCUCUCAGCUCAGUCCAUCGUGGAGCAGACACACAAAGCUCUAUGGGCUACUUUGAAAAAAGAGAUCUAUGAUCUGUGCGUGUGUUCGGCCUGUCGAUAUUCACAAGUUUGGCCCAGGCUAUAG
rnacentral:rRNA from 1 species